GAGUUUGAUCAUGGCUCAGGAUGAACGCUGGCGGCGUGCCUAAUACAUGCAAGUCGAGCGAACGGACGAGAAGCUUGCUUCUCUGAUGUUAGCGGCGGACGGGUGAGUAACACGUGGAUAACCUACCUAUAAGACUGGGAUAACUUCGGGAAACCGGAGCUAAUACCGGAUAAUAUUUUGAACCGCAUGGUUCAAAAGUGAAAGACGGUCUUGCUGUCACUUAUAGAUGGAUCCGCGCUGCAUUAGCUAGUUGGUAAGGUAACGGCUUACCAAGGCAACGAUGCAUAGCCGACCUGAGAGGGUGAUCGGCCACACUGGAACUGAGACACGGUCCAGACUCCUACGGGAGGCAGCAGUAGGGAAUCUUCCGCAAUGGGCGAAAGCCUGACGGAGCAACGCCGCGUGAGUGAUGAAGGUCUUCGGAUCGUAAAACUCUGUUAUUAGGGAAGAACAUAUGUGUAAGUAACUGUGCACAUCUUGACGGUACCUAAUCAGAAAGCACGGCUAACUACG
rnacentral:rRNA from 1 species